UAAUUAGUAGUAAUAAUUCUCUGACACAUCACCACUAAUACACACACCACGUCACUGCUACGGGUAAUUAAAAACCCACUUCCAACUCUGAUUUUCACCUCUGCCGUGCAUGGAAAGCUGAGCCACAAUCAUUUCUCUGCAACAUUAAAAACGCACCACUCUUUGCAUGCAAGCACGCCACGUGUUGCGGUAGAGGCUUCUAAAUCAGUGAUGGGUGUGCAGGUGUCAGCCUGGGACACGUUCGUUCAAACGAACGGGAGUUUAACAAAACCAGAUUUUUCUGAAAACUCUCUCACCUGCAUCACUCAUCUUCUUCCUCACGAAACACACCCAUUCAUCUUCUCCAACUUCUCUCUUAAACCAGUAAACUUCUCUCUACUGUAACCUCUCAUUUUUCUUCUCCAAAUCCCAUUUCAGAACCAUAGGAACGUUUCCAGAGACGCGGACGUUAGUUUGGACCGAACAGAAUUUGAUUCUAAGCUGAUAAAGGGUUAGAUUUAGUAGAAGGAACUUAAGUGGCUGUUGCGUAUAGAAGAGCUGUGGUUGAACGUGUGGAAGUCAUAUUUUAGGGCGUACACUGCUAUCCAGACGGUGGUGCAUCUCUUGAAGAAAUGCUGGAAGAAGAAAAUUUGGAAGAUGCAAAUCUGGUCGACAUUGAAGUGAAGGCCGAGCCUUAGAGCGCUCGUAGAUGUUAGGCUGUAAAUGUUAGCUCGUUUUGGACGUUCGGUUAGUCCUUUUGUAAAACCGUUCGUUCCGCUUUAUUCCCUGUUACUUUGAUACGCUCGUUAUUUUGUAAUGACGCCGUUCGGCUUCGAACCUUUGAGUGCUGUUAAUAUUAAAGACUGUUUAUUUUACUGUUAAUUGUAAUUAAUCCUGAUUCAUGGUAAUUAC